rnacentral:rRNA from 1 species
CUUCCCUACGGGCGGCAGCAGUAGGGAAUCUUCCACAAUGGGCGAAAGCCUGAUGGAGCAACGCCGCGUGGGUGAAGAAGGUCUUCGGAUCGUAAAACCCUGUUGUUAGAGAAGAAAGUGCGUGAGAGUAACUGUUCACGUUUCGACGGUAUCUAACCAGAAAGCCACGGCUAACUACGUGCCAGCAGCCGCGGUAAUACGUAGGUGGCAAGCGUUAUCCGGAUUUAUUGGGCGUAAAGGGAACGCAGGCGGUACUUUAAGGCUGAUUUGAAAGCC